rnacentral:pre_miRNA from 1 species
AACAUACUCCCUUCGUUCGGAAUUACUUGUCACAAAAAUAGAUGUAUCUACAACUAAAAUACAUCUAGAUACAUUCAUUUCUUGGACGAGUAAUUCCGAACGGAGGGAGUAGAUC